rnacentral:rRNA from 1 species
AUGGGUUUGAUCAGCGGAGGGGUGUUCUUCAAGAUCUUGGCGUUCCUCUGUUUCGUCAGAUUAUCUCAAGGAAGAAAACAUUCCGCCACACCGGAUCUCCCUCCCCUCCGGAAGGCGAGCAGUUUCUCCAAAAUCCAGCAUGAAGCAUAUGACUACAUCAUUGUCGGCGGGGGCACGGCUGGAUGCCCAUUGGCAGCAACGCUGUCGAAAAAGUACAAGGUGCUGUUGCUUGAGAGAGGUGGAUCUCCAUAUGGCAACCGCAACAUCUCAUACCUUGAGAACUUCCACAUUUGCUUGACCGAUGAAUCGAAGAAUUCCCCAUCUCAGGGAUUCAUCUCCACUGAUGGUGUCAUCAAUUCCCGAGCAAAGGUUCUAGGUGGCGGAACAUGUAUAAAUGCCGGCUUCUACAGCCGAGCCAACCGAAGAUUUGUGAAGGAUGCAGGAUGGGAUGAAGAGUUGGUGAAUCAGUCCUACCCCUGGGUCGAAGAGAGGAUUGUUUAUUGGCCAAAGAUUGCACCUUGGCAAGCUGCCCUUCGUGAUGGGCUGCUUGAAGCAGGGGUAUCGCCUUACAAUGGAUAUACCUAUGACCAUCUCUUUGGAACCAAAGUUGGGGGAACCAUCUUUGAUGAGGCUGGGUACCGGCACACUGCUGCUGACCUCCUAGCUGCUGCAAAUCCUGACAACCUCAGAGUGCUGCUUCAUGCUAGUGUGAACAAAGUAAUUUUCAAAACGAGACAUGGACAUCAGAAACAGAGUGCUAUUGGGGUUCAAUUCAAGGAUGAGAAUGGUGGGCACCAUCAAGCCUUUCUCAGCCAAAAGAGAGGCAGCGAGAUUAUUGUCUCUGCCGGUGCAAUUGGAAGCCCCCAGCUGUUAUUGAUCAGCGGUAUUGGACCAAGGAGUGAACUUAAGAAGCAUAACAUUUCUAUAGUUCUUCACAACGAACACGUGGGUAAAGGGAUGUCAGACAACCCACUGAGCUCCGUAUUUAUACCCACCAAGGAUCCCCCAAAGCAAUCUCUUAUUGAGACUGUUGGAAUAACUGAUGAUGGUGUGUUUAUCGAAGCCAGCAGCGGUUUCGGCCAGACAGGGGACAGCAUCCACUGCCACCAUGGAAUCAUGUCUGCUGAGAUUGGGCAGUUAUCGACGAUUCCUCCAAAGGACAGAAGUUUAGAAGCAGUCCAUAAGUAUGUACGUAACAAAAAUAGCCUGCCCAAAGAAGUAUUCCAUGGAGGGUUUAUUCUUUCGAAGAUUGAUGGCCCGCUGUCUACUGGCAAUCUAGUUCUUGUGGACACUGAUCCCAACAGCAAUCCUAUCGUCACCUUCAACUACUUCAAGCAUCCACAGGAUCUGAGACGAUGUGUUUACGGGAUCAAGACCAUAGAGAAAAUAAUUAGUACAAACACUUUCUCAAACUUCACUCCCAAAGAUGGUGGAUAUUCAAUGGAAAAACUGCUCAAUAUGAGUGUAGCAGCUAACAUAAACCUGAUACCGAAGCAUACAGAUGACAGCACAUCCUUGGAGCAGUUUUGCAGGGAUACAGUGGUCACCAUCUGGCAUUACCAUGGAGGAUGCCAUGUAGGCAAGGUGGUUGACCAACAGUACAAAGUGAUUGGCGCCUCAGGCCUCCGGGUAAUUGACGGAUCAACCCUAUCCAGGUCGCCAGGAACAAACCCACAAGCCACAGUCAUGAUGAUGGGCAGAUACAUGGGAGUAAAGAUCUUAAGGGAAAGGUUAGGACGGGCGGCUGGAGUAUAA